CCCAAAUAAGGUGCGUCGUGCUAAGGUCAGACUCCUACGGGAGGCAGCAGUGGGGAAUAUUGGACAAUGGGCGAAAGCCUGAUCCAGCCAUGCCGCGUGUGUGAAGAAGGUCUUCGGAUUGUAAAGCACUUUAAGUUGGGAGGAAGGGCAUUAACCUAAUACGUUAGUGUUUUGACGUUACCGACAGAAUAAGCACCGGCUAACUCUGUGCCAGCAGCCGCGGUAAUACAGAGGGUGCAAGCGUUAAUCGGAAUUACUGGGCGUAAAGCGCGCGUAGGUGGUUCGUUAAGUUGGAUGUGAAAUCCCCGGGCUCAACCUGGGAACUGCAUUCAAAACUGUCGAGCUAGAGUAUGGUAGAGGGUGGUGGAAUUUCCUGUGUAGCGGUGAAAUGCGUAGAUAUAGGAAGGAACACCAGUGGCGAAGGCGACCACCUGGACUGAUACUGACACUGAGGUGCGAAGGCGUGGGGAGCAAACAGGACUAGAUACCCUGGUAGUCCACGCCGUAAACGAUGUCAACUAGCCGUUGGGAGCCUUGAGCUCUUAGUGGCGCAGCUAACGCAUUAAGUUGACCGCCUGGGGAGUACGGCCGCAAGGUUAAAACUCAAAUGAAUUGACGGGGGCCCGCACAAGCGGUGGAGCAUGUGGUUUAAUUCGAAGCAACGCGAAGAACCUUACCAGGCCUUGACAUCCAAUGAACUUUCCAGAGAUGGAUUGGUGCCUUCGGGAACAUUGAGACAGGUGCUGCAUGGCUGUCGUCAGCUCGUUGUCGUGAGAUGUUGGGUUAAGUCCCGUAACGAGCGCAACCCUUUGUCCUUAAUUAACCAGCACGUCAUGGUGGGCACUCUAAGGAGACUGCCGGUGACAAACCGGAGGAAGGUGGGGAUGACGUCAAGUCAUCAUGGCCCUUACGGCCUGGGCGACACACGGUACAAUGUCGACACGGAAAGGUUUGUACAAAUAGCCCG
rnacentral:rRNA from 1 species